CCCUUAGAUGUUCUGGGCCGCACGCGCGCUACACUGACGAAUGCAACGAGCUUAUAACCUUGGCCGAAAGGUCUGGGUAAUCUCCAAAUUUCGUCGUGAUGGGGAUAGAUUAUUGCAAUUAUUAAUCUUCAACGAGGAAUGCCUAGUAAGCGCGAGUCAUCAGCUCGUGCUGAUUACGUCCCUGCCCUUUGUACACACCGCCCAUCGCUCCUACCGAUUGAGUGAUCCGGUGAAUAAUUCGGACUGCGGCAAUGUUCAGCUCCUGAAUGUUGCUGCGGAAAGUUUAGUGAACCUUAUCACUUAGAGGAAGGAGAAGUCGUAACA
rnacentral:rRNA from 1 species